GACGAACGCUGGCGGCGUGCCUAAUACAUGCAAGUAGAACGCUGAAGAGAGGAGCUUACUCUUCUUGGAUGAGUUGCGAACGGGUGAGUAACGCGUAGGUGACCUGCCUUGUAGCGGGGGAUAACUAUUGGAAACGAUAGCUAAUACCGCAUAACAAUGGAUGACACAUGUCAUUUAUUUGAAAGGGGCAAUUGCUCCACUACAAGAUGGACCUGCGUUGUAUUAGCUAGUAGGUGAGGUAAUGGCUCACCUAGGCGACGAUACAUAGCCGACCUGAGAGGGUGAUCGGCCACACUGGGACUGAGACACGGCCCAGACUCCUACGGGAGGCAGCAGUAGGGAAUCUUCGGCAAUGGGGGCAACCCUGACCGAGCAACGCCGCGUGAGUGAAGAAGGUUUUCGGAUCGUAAAGCUCUGUUGUAAGUCAAGAACGGGUGUGAGAGUGGAAAGUUCACACUGUGACGGUAGCUUACCAGAAAGGGACGGCUAACUACGUG
rnacentral:rRNA from 1 species